AAUGAGUACUUCUUGCCUCCCUUCAUUGAUAACAUGCCAAACCUUAGGGCACUGAUAGUGAUAAAUUACAGUACACAAAAUGCAACACUUCACAAUUUUUCAGUCUUUUCUGAUUUGGCUAACUUGAAGAGCCUUUGGCUUGAAAAAGUUUCAGUUGCUCAAUUGACAGAAUCUACCAUCCCCUUGAAAAAUUUGCAAAAAAUAUCUCUCAUCCUAUGCAAGAUCAAUAACAGCCU
rnacentral:misc_RNA from 1 species